rnacentral:lncRNA from 1 species
AGAGCUGUGUCAACUGUACCCAUGAGAGCUUGAUAACUGUUUCAUACUUCCUAUCAGUCCCACCUUUGACAUCAGUAACCUGAGCUGAAAUGGAUUCAUUUCUGCGCAACACAUAAGAAGUGUGUGUUGAUGGAUUGCAUUUCAUGAAAUGGAAAUGUUUUGUAUGCCUCUCAUCAUAUGCAACUCAGGGUCUUUUCUGCUUUAGCAUAGAUACCAGCAAGGGAUCAUCUGAUAAAGGAAGGAGGAAUAUUAAAGAAAUA